UACGUAGGUGGCAAGCGAUACUCGGAAUCACUAGGCGUAAAGCGCAGGUAGGAGGUUUGGUAAGUCUGUUGUGAAAGCCCCCGGCUCAACCGGGGAGAGUGGUUGGAAACUGGCGCUCUUGAGGGCGAUAGAGGAGGGUGGAAUUCCUGGUGUAGCGGUGAAAUGCGUAGAGAUCAGGAGGAACACCAGUGGCGAAGGCGGCCCUCUGGGACGGUACUGACGCUGAGACGCGAAAGCGUGGGGAGCAAACAGG
rnacentral:rRNA from 1 species